AUUGAACGCUGGCGGCAUGCCUUACACAUGCAAGUCGAACGGUAACAGGUCUUCGGAUGCUGACGAGUGGCGAACGGGUGAGUAAUACAUCGGAACGUGCCUAGUAGUGGGGGAUAACUACUCGAAAGAGUGGCUAAUACCGCAUGAGAUCUACGGAUGAAAGCAGGGGAUCGCAAGACCUUGUGCUACUAGAGCGGCCGAUGGCAGAUUAGGUAGUUGGUGGGAUAAAAGCUUACCAAGCCGACGAUCUGUAGCUGGUCUGAGAGGACGAUCAGCCACACUGGGACUGAGACACGGCCCAGACUCCUACGGGAGGCAGCAGUGGGGAAUUUUGGACAAUGGGCGCAAGCCUGAUCCAGCAAUGCCGCGUGCAGGAUGAAGGCCUUCGGGUUGUAAACUGCUUUUGUACGGAACGAAAAGCCCUGGGUUAAUACCCUGGGGUCAUGACGGUACCGUAAGAAUAAGCACCGGCUAACUACGUGCCAGCCGCCGCCGUUAACAC
rnacentral:rRNA from 1 species